GCUCUUCCAUUCCAUUUUCGAAAGAAAGAGCAAAAACAGGGAAAACACAAUUUUCGAUCUCCAUUACCCUUUCCAUCACCUGUAAGAUUCACUCACUCUCUCUUUCAUUUCUCUUUCCCUGUAAUUUUCUUUUUCUCUUUCAGAUCUGCACUUCUUUUUCCCUCUUUUCUUUUCUUUUCUUUUUUUCCCUGCUGUUUCCUCUUCUCUUGGAUGUUGAUUUUCUUGGUACUUCUAGCUCUCCUCUUCUCUUGGUUGUUGAUUUUCUUGGUACUUCUAGCUCUCCUCUUCUCUUGGUUGUUGAUUUUCUUGGUACUUCUAGCUCAUUCAAUGUUCAAAUUGAUUAUAUUAGACUUUCUUUUUAUUUUUCCUUCUGUUUCUAGCCUUGUUUUGAUGGCUAUUGUUUAUUUCUCUGUUCCUAUUUGGCUUGCCUUUUUUCAAUUUGUUUAGAAUGUUGUAGAUUUAUUAUGUGUUUAAUUUUCUUAUUGAAUCUUGGCUAUAGUGGGAUGUUUAUGGAUUUGGAGUUGGGUUGUGUUGAUGCCUCAUAAUUUCCUUUUCGAUUGUUUGUUUUCGAGGUUACAUAAAUUAUAGUAGGUCUCGUUGGAUCUCUAUGGUUUAAGGGUGCAUUUAUGAGUUUAGAUGUGGAAAUGGAUACAUGAUAGAUAGUUUUUUUGUUGACCUAGUCUUCAUAGUUCUUCAUGUUUAAGUCUUCAUUUCUAUAUGCCAGUUGGAGUUAGAAGUUGAAGUUUCUAUUUUUAAUGCUAUUCUUAUUUCGUUUGUAGAUUUCAAAGAUUUGAGGAUAACAAUCGGUGAGACUUUAAUCAGUUUGGAGUUAUUUAAGAGUGUUGUGGUGUUUGGAGGAGGGUGAUGCCUCUGUUUCUUAUUAUUACACUUUGUGUUUCAUGAUUAAGAAUGAUGUUCAUAACUUGUUUUGUGAUAUGAAUAAGAACAAUAUGUUUCUAUGUUGUAAGUAUAUUGUAAUGACCAACUAUAUGUAUAUGUUCAACAGUAUAUAUGCAAUUUGUUAGCUAUUUGAUUGAAGGUUUGAGUUGAUUCAAGAAAUGUAAAUAGUUCAAUUGAU
rnacentral:lncRNA from 1 species